CAGAUUGACUGCCAGCCACCUGUGGAUGUAACGUUGAUUUAGUUGCGGGCAGGCGAGCUCUGAAAUGUCCCCAUUACUACAGCCAGAAGUCAUUUUGUUUAACCAUGUAACAUAUAGCUCUUGGUGCCAUGAAUCAUCAUUGUCCAUCAUGAACUGUGACUGAGCAAAUGCUUGUAUGAGUGAAAUUAAAGCACGAUCAUCACACAUCAUCUCACCGGGUAGCCACAAAUCGGGGGAAGUAGGAGGUCUGAUUGAAGUCGACCCUCUCGUUGGCCUGCAGAAUGAACCUGGGCUGAUCGCCAAAGGCCCGGAUGACGCUGGCGCCCUGCACCGUCUCGUUGAAGUGGGUGUAGAUGGGCGAGCGGCUCACAGCUUCCAGCCUCCGCAGCUGACAGGAUGUGGCGACGUAGAAGCUCUGCAGCCCACAGUGGAAAAGUAAAACAUCAGCUUUAAUGAGCGAAACCAACAGGGAGCGCUGAGGGCUUUCCCAUAAUUCAAAGUGAAUGUGUGUAACAUCUAUGUCAGCAGGGGGGGGGGCAAAACGUAAGCGAGCGGCUGAGCUUUCCAAUGGAACCCAGCUCGUGUUCAGCCACCUUUCAUGUUAUGCACUCAAAGAAAACCUAAAGAUCAAAGUCCUUAAAUGAGUUAGGGAAAACGUACCUGGACAAAGGCGUAAAGGAAGGCGAGAGGCAGGAUGAUCACGGCUGCAAAGGGUGUCGCCAUCAGCACGAUGAUGCAGACCUCCAUGAGUUUGAAGACGUAGCUCAGCAUCAUCUUCAGGCCGUCGGGCACCAUGCAGUCGAUGGCGUCGAUCUCUUUGGCAAAGCGGUUGAGUAGGUUGCCGCUGGGCGUGCACUCAAAGAACGACAUCGGAGAGCGCAGCACGUUGAUCAGCAGGUCCAUGUGCAAGUGGCGAGAGGCGAUGAUGCCGCAGAUGGAGAUGGCGACAGUCGUACCAAAGAUGGCGACGCCUGAAGAGAAGGGAAAGAUGUUUCAUUCAGUCAGAGCCGAGGUCAGAUGGAAACAUUUUUUUUCAAAGAGCAGUAGAAGUAUCUUGUAGAAGAAUAAUGAAUAUCAACAUGAUAUCAAAUAGAGUCACCUACACCCCUCGUAUUUUAUCCUAUUCAUGCUUCUUUAAAUUUGAUGCUAACUGACCUUGUACAAAGCCCAGUGCUCCAAACACAGCCAGUUUCAGGUCUGUAUCGAUCUGGGUGCCAUUAACAACAGGAUCGUCAGCCCACAUGCUGAGCCAGUAGUUGUAGGCCAGUGAGGCGCCCUGCUGAAAGGCGUACAGGAAGACGAUAGGAAUGAUGAUGGCCAAGCCGAUGGUCUUGAAGUACUUCUUGUACAUCUCCAACCUCACCUGUUGUAAAAAACAAAAACACACAAAAAGUACCAGUCAGUCUCAAGGAAUGUGAUAUCUUUGUUCCUCUUUGUAUUGAGUCCACUACUGUCCAAUAUCACACCGUUAGAGGUGAAGUCGAACUUACCCUUCCAGUGCGGGCCUUAUCAACCUCAGUCAGUUUGCCCAAGUCUUCUGGUACUGGUUCCUGGUCUGUUUCAGACACAGGCUCCAUGUUCUGCAGGUUGGUAUUUGUGGUGUCACCCCUGGAGGAUGCAGACAGGCCAAAGGUCAGUUUGGUGCUCGGGAGGCCAAAUAUCUUUAGGACAGUGUUAAAAUUCACAAGCUUGUUUACGCACCCAAUGAGCUGCUCCUGUGACAGGUCUCUGGAGAACGGCAUGAAGUCGACCAUGCUGAGACGAGCAUUGGACCUCCUGGAACCAGCUACAAGGACAGUUUUUUGGUUUUUAACUGUGACUAUUCAUCAUUUCUUUACUGCAUUUAGACUGCAUAAUGUUUUAGAAUUAAGAAUGGACAAAAACUCAAACAGAAUAUUUUCUUUAUUUAUUUCUGAAAUGUCUCGUCACCUCUCUGAAUGGCGCUCUCUUUCCGCUCUGUGCUGGCGAAGGUGUGGAUGAAGUCGGCGAAAGCGCCAUGGCGGCUGAGGAGCUCCUGGUAGGAGCCGCUCUCUGUGAUUUCUCCAUCUACCAGCACGAGGAUAUGGUCAGCCUGCGGCAGGAAGCUCAUCCCAUGGGUCACCAGGAUGCGGGUCUGUAAAGGCAAGCCGCACAAGUCGGAAAAAUAGGAUUACUCCUUUUGGGCCAAUGACCUUGUCAAAGAUGUGCUGACCCACAUGUGCAUCAACAGCAGACAGCGGAUCAUCCAGGAGGUAAACAUCAGCCUUUCUGUAGACCGCCCUGGCCAGGCUCACCCUCUGCUUCUGCCCACCUGAGAGCAUCUCCAGCAGGCAGGAUGUCCAGGUCCGGCAGCAGUGCACAGGCCUCCAGCACUCGGUGGUACCAUGUCUUCAGUUUUUCACGCCCGAAUACGAUGUUGUCUUGGACUGUGGCGUUCUGGAUCCAGGCCUGCUGGGGCACGUACGCCACAGAGCCCUGCGAGGGCAGAUGUCAGAAGAGAGACAUGGCGGACAACAAGGAGGACUUUCCACUGCCCACAUGUCCGACCACAGCAACAAGGGAACCUCGUGGCACAUGGAUGUUGAUCCUGUCAGCAAGAGAAGGAAGCGUCCUGGGGGGCCCUCUGCAGACCAGCUGAAAGUGCCGUUUUCUAUCGCCACAUCUUCUCCGUCUACACAUGAGAGAGAAACAUGAAGACUGAGGACAUGUUCUUUCAACCUGAACGAAAAAACAAACUUUCAAAACAAAAUUUCCCCCUUGAAGUUGCCUGUCAGAGUGCAGCCUGGGCGUAAUUACAAGUGAAUUUGCUUAAUCAUACAAAUUACAGAGCUGUUGCUUUUUCACAAGCAGUCUUAGGAAGUGUUGACAGAUUACAGACAGAGGAGUGGAGUAUUUUUUUAAAUUUCUCUCUGAAUCAUAUGUCUGAAUUCAUGCUGUGAUUUAUGUUCAACCACUAAAUGAGAACAUCCUAUAAUUACUCUGUCUACCAGUCGGCCCAGGACCCAGGAAGUGACAGUGCACAUGAUCCAUACAAGGCUGUGGUACCCCACAGAUAUAAACAACAAAAUCUUGUGGGCUGCUUAUAUUGAUUAUGACAGCCUAUGAUUUCAGUCAGAAUGGGGAACAAAUUGUGGAAAUUGAUAAAAUUAAACGCUGCAGUAUAGUAGUUUAUUCACUGGCGGUAAUAGUUUAUACAUGGGCGGGGUUCUUACCAGAACUCAAUGGAGUCUUUGAGACAUUGUCCACUUUCAAUUCCUCUGAGCACAGGUACUUUCCCAGACGUCUCAGUGAAACCAUCGCCUGGAACGGAGUCAGUGGUUAGUGAACUGACCUACAAUGGGCAUAUGAGACCGUGGAAAUAGAUGGAUGAAAAGUAUCCGAGCGAUCAUGGCUGGUCACCUACCUGCAUAGUCGUGCUUAUAGCAAAUGGAAGCUGACUGAGUGGGGUCUUCAGGAUGUUGAUCAGCGCCAUGGAGACAAAAACUUUCUGUGCAUCCAGGACGUUCCUGUCGUCGAGCGUCACGUAGACGCCGAACAUGGCAAAGGCAAUCUACGGAAAAAAAAGAUGCUAAAUGUUAACUUUACAGGCAAGGACUUGUGUGAAUGGAUGAUCUUCAGAGACGCAAUUUAAAGGAUAAGGCUGGUGUUAUUCGCAAUUUCUGUAAUUGUCAAUAUAACCCAUGAAAAGACCAAAACCAACAGCGAUGCAUUAGUCUGUCUCCCAGCACUCUCUGACUUCCCCGCCCUGUCUGUGGCACUCAGCUCCCACUGAAGAUCUUUAAAAACAGGUCACAACUGCAGCAUUUUUGUUUUGUUUUUGACCACAUCAGCAGCUCUGGGGGUGGCAAUGUUGGUCUGACAGUCUGGUCCAGGCACAAAAUGUUUCGGUUUCAGUCUCGACAACUAUUGGAUGGAUUGCCAUGACAUUUGGUACAGACAUUCAUGUUCCUCUCAGGAUGACCUCUACAACUCUGGCGAACUCUUAACUUUUAAUCUAGCGCCACCAGCAGGUCAAAAUUCAUACCAUGCAAAUGGUUUGUGACAUUCCCACCAUUUGUUUUAUGCAAAUCAGCAAAGCCAGAGUUGCUGUCUGUAUGGUCUGGUAGGACAGUACGUGUACAGCACAGAGCAAUAAGCUAGGCUACAUCAGGCUUAGGGUACACAUAUUUGUAGUUGGUUUUGGUCUCUUCAUGGAGUUUCUUUACUGUAAGAAAAAAUAUUCACCACUCUCCAGCUUUGGAGUUUGCAUUUGUUCAGUUCAGCGUGCUUACCAGGAAAGAGGAGGAGUUGAAGGACGCAAUGGAAAUGGAAUAAAGGAUCUGAGACUUCUUCAGGGCUUUGAGCUCCUUCUCUCUGUGGCCUAACACCUGCUCCAGGAAGGCCUUCUCCCAGGCGUAGAACUUCAAGAUCUUUAUCCCGUUCAGGAUCUCAUUCAUCAGCCUGAUGCGGCCGUCCAUGAACUUCAUUUGAAUCUCCUGUUGACCAGACAAAGAAGUUUUAACAUUUUAUUAUUAAAAAAUGAGCUGUCCUAAACUUAAACUAGGGCACAGUGACAAUUAUAAGACCAAAGGAAAUACAUGCAUUUGUGAACAUGGGUUUGUCCACUCUUGUUACAGCUGUAGUAGUUUUCCUGAACACCAUGGAACUUGUUUAAUUCUGUAAGAAUUUAUUGCUUGUUACAUUUUAGUGAUUUUUAUGACAAGGAAACAACAAAGGGCCAUGGAUGCGGUCACCAUAUUCAAGACUAAGUUCGAUUAAAUUGGCAUCCAAAUUUACAGAGCCGUCUGUUGUUUUUCCAAAGAAAUGAAAAAUUAUGUCUUCCUGCUGCCCACCCUUUCCUUUCAUUGUUUUUCAAACACGUUAUAUGGGGCAGACAUCAAAAGGACAAGAGAGAAUGCACCAUCCAGGCCAAACACCCACACGGCUCCUCAGCCACUAUCUAAACCAGCUGUGGCAUCCCUGACCUAACAUGCCAGAUGUCAGAGCUACUGAGACGAAAGUGUGGAGGAUUCCUGCAGCAGCUCUUACCUGUAGCUUGCUUCUUUUCUUCGCUAUGAACCCGUUGAGUGGAAAAAUGAGAAUGACAGUGGCAAUCCCCGCCAAAGCUGAUGGGCCCAGAUGCUAAAUAUAACAAAGAACGGCGUCAAGGGCUUUUCAGUUAAAACGCAGCCGCGCAUGAAUGAGGAGCAUUGUGAAAACAUUUCGACAUACCUGCCAGAGGAAGAAGAGACACAGAGCAAUUUCAAUGGGAGCCAGCCAGACAGCGUUGAAGUACACCACAAAGUCCAUGAGCUUCUGAGUGUCUGCUGAAACCAGAUUCACAAUCUCGCCCACAGUGCAAGUCCUCCUGGCAGCGCUGUUUAUCACCAGAGACUGGAUUGACAACAAAAGAGACAAAGACAUUUUAGCCCUCAGUGCACUGUGUACAGUAUAAAUUUACACCCUCGUAAAGAUCUCAGACGAUCAUUCAUCUUGGUAAAAGCUGUUAAUCAUACGCUGUGUACUGUUUCCCCGUCUGGAAGGACAGAAAACUUUUGUUGUUGCCAUUUAAAACGUAAUUUAUGUCGUGUCUAGAGGUUAGUGGCUACAUGUCCAUGGAUACAGAUUUACCCACCUUCCUGUAAACCAAGCCCAUAACAGCUGUCUUCACCCUCAUUCCCACUGUGAAGCAAGUGUACAUGUACUGAUGGUUGAAGAGGGACUGGAGGCAGGACAGCAGGAACAUGAGGGUGGCGUAGAAGUAGCCCUUCCACAGCGGAGCAUCCUCGUCCCUCAUGAAACCCAGAAGAAGACUGUGGAGGGAGAGAAGAAGAAGAUUAAUCAGUGAUCAGGAUGUUUAUCGUUUGCACACGUUCAAGUUUUUGUUUGACCAUUCAGCGCCCUAAAAGGGUCAUGACUAUACUACAUCAAAGCCGUAUUUCUAGGUAUGAGUUUCCCUGGAAAGUAGGAACGAUACAAAUCAAAGCAGACAGACAAGUUUUUACCCUGUCAACAUGAUCUUUUUUUUAUUGUGUUUUUUUUAUUCAAUCUGGUAUUAUUUGACUUUCAAUGUGUGCCUCAAACCAAUGGCCUUGGAGCGCUGCUGUGGCUGCUGGCUGACUGUGUUGCACAACAGUGCUCGGAU